AACGUAGGAGACAAACGUUAUCCGGAUUUACUGGGCGUAAAGGGCGUGCAGGUGGUCUGUUAAGUCUGGCGUGAAAGCUCCUGGCUAAACCGGGAGAGGUCGUUGGAUACUGGCGGACUAGAGGACGGUAGAGGCGUGUGGAAUUCCGGGUGUAGUGGUGAAAUGCGUAGAGAUCCGGAGGAACACCAGUGGCGAAGGCGACACGCUGGGCCGUACCUGACACUGAUACGCGACAGCAUGGGGAGCGAACGGG
rnacentral:rRNA from 1 species